rnacentral:rRNA from 1 species
CCUACGGGAGGCUGCAGUGGGGGAUAUUGCACAAUGGAGGAAACUCUGAUGCAGCAACGCCGCGUGAGGGAAGAAGGUCUUCGGAUUGUAAACCUCUGUCCUCAGGGACGAUAAUGACGGUACCUGAGGAGGAAGCUCCGGCUAACUACGUGCCAGCAGCCGCGGUAAUACGUAGGGAGCAAGCGUUGUCCGGAUUUACUGGGUGUAAAGGGCGCGUAGGCGGCCCUGCAAGUCAGGUGUGAAAACUAUGGGCUUAACUCAUAGAUUGCACUUGAAACUGUGGGGCUGGGGUGAAGUAGAGGCAGGGGGAAGGGGGGGUGUAGCGGUGAAGUGCGUAGAGGGCGGGAAGAACACGAGUGGCGAAGGGGGCGGGCUGGGCUGUAACUGACGGUGGGGCACGAAGGCGUGGGUAGCAAACAGGAUUAGAUGCGCGGGUAGGG